UACGAAGGGGGCUAGCGUUGUUCGGAAUCACUGGGCGUAAAGGGCGCGUAGGCGGCCGAUCAAGUCGGGGGUGAAAGCCUGUGGCUCAACCACAGAAUUGCCUUCGAUACUGUUUGGCUUGAGACCGGAAGAGGUAAGUGGAACUGCGAGUGUAGAGGUGAAAUUCGUAGAUAUUCGCAAGAACACCAGUGGCGAAGGCGGCUUACUGGUCCGGUUCUGACGCUGAGGUGCGAAAGCGUGGGGAGCAAACAGG
rnacentral:rRNA from 1 species